UGGGUGUCGCGAUAGUGUGAUUUAUUACUGUGUUAAAUGAGAGAUAAGCAGUCUAGAUAAUUGUAAAUAUAGGUUUACAUUUGGUAACAACUAGAACUAAAAAUUAUUAUAUAUAGCCCGUGGGAGAAACAAGCAGAUUAGAGAGCUCUAUCCAAAGGGAUUUCUCCUUAUAUCUCAGGACUUCAGCUGAUCGGAGUUUCAGCCACCAUCCGACAGGAGGCGCUGAGUGAAAGGCGAAGAGGUCAAUGCGGGCUAUGAUAAUUAAUUAGCCUUCCGAGGUGGAGGACUGCUAUGAAUCCAAUUGAGAAUGGAAGCAAUGGAGCAAUGGAAUGGCAUUUGUCUAGCGACACUGGAAUACGCAUUCGUGGCGAAAAUUUAUUUUAUGUAUGAUAAAAUGAACAAUUAAAUAAAAUUAAAAGAAAAAUCGAA